rnacentral:tRNA from 1 species
AAGGUUUUAAGUUACAUAAACUAUUUGCCUUCAAAGCAAAAAACAGAUCUUAUCUAAACCUUG